UACGUAGGGGGCAAGCGUUGUCCGGAAUUAUUGGGCGUAAAGCGCGCGCAGGCGGUUGUGUAAGUCUGGUGUAUAAACCCAAGGCUCAACCUUGGGGCGCACUGGAAACUGCAGAACUGGAGUGUAGGAGAGGGAAGUGGAAUUCCACGUGUAGCGGUGAAAUGCGUAGAGAUGUGGAGGAACACCAGUGGCGAAGGCGACUUUCUGGCCUAUAACUGACGCUGAGGCGCGAAAGCGUGGGGAGCAAACAGG
rnacentral:rRNA from 1 species